UACGUAGGGGGCUAGCGUUGUCCGGAAUCAUUGGGCGUAAAGAGCGUGUAGGCGGCCCGGUAAGUCCGCUGUGAAAGUCGGGGGCUCAACCCUCGAAUGCCGGUGGAUACUGUCGGGCUAGAGUGCGGAAGAGGCGAGUGGAAUUCCUGGUGUAGCGGUGAAAUGCGCAGAUAUCAGGAGGAACACCGAUUGCGAAGGCAGCUCGCUGGGACGUAACUGACGCUGAGACGCGGAAAGCGUGGGGAGCAAACAGG
rnacentral:rRNA from 1 species